rnacentral:rRNA from 1 species
UACGGGGGGGGGCAAGCGUUGUUCGGAAUUACUGGGCGUAAAGGGCUCGUAGGUGGCCAACUAAGUCAUACGUGAAAUCCCUCGGCUUAACCGGGGAACUGCGUCUGAUACUGGAUGGCUUGAGGUUGGGAGAGGGAUGCGGAAUUCCAGGUGUAGCGGUGAAAUGCGUAGAUAUCUGGAGGAACACCGGUGGCGAAGGCGGCAUCCUGGACCAAUUCUGACACUGGAGGAGCGAAAGCCAGGGGAGCAAACGGGG